GAAAUGCGAUAAGUAAUGUGAAUUGCAGAAUUCAGUGAAUCAUCGAAUCUUUGAGCGCACAUUGCGCCCGCCAGUAUUCUGGCGGGCAUGCCUGUUCGAGCGUCAUUUCAACCAUCAAGCCCCCGGCUUGUGUUGGGGACCUGCGGCUGCCCGCAGGCCCUGAAAAACAGUGGCGGGCUCGCUGUCACACCGAGCGUAGUAGCAUACAUUCUCGCUCAGGGCGUGCUGCGGGUUCCGGCCGUUAAACGACCUUCAUAACCCAAGGUUGACCUCGGAUCAGGUAGGAAGACCCGCUGAACUUAAGC
rnacentral:misc_RNA from 1 species